UACGAAGGGGGCUAGCGUUGUUCGGAAUUACUGGGCGUAAAGGGCGUGUAGGCGGCCCGUUAAGUCAUGUGUGAAAUCCCCCGGCUCAACCGGGGAAUUGCGCCUGAUACUGGCGGGCUAGAGGUCGAUAGGGGUGAGCGGAACUCCAGGUGGAGCGGUGAAAUGCGUAGAUAUCUGGAGGAACACCGGUGGCGAAAGCGGCUCACUGGAUCGAAACUGACGCUGAGGUGCGAAAGCUAGGGUAGCAAACGGG
rnacentral:rRNA from 1 species